UACGAAGGGGGCUAGCGUUGUUCGGAAUCACUGGGCGUAAAGGGCGCGUAGGCGGCUUUGUAAGUCGGGGGUGAAAGCCUGCGGCUCAACCACAGAAUUGCCUUCGAUACUGCAUGGCUUGAGACCGGAAGAGGUAAGUGGAACUGCGAGUGUAGAGGUGAAAUUCGUAGAUAUUCGCAAGAACACCAGUGGCGAAGGCGGCUUACUGGUCCGGUUCUGACGCUGAGGCGCGAAAGCGUGGGGAGCAAACAGG
rnacentral:rRNA from 1 species